rnacentral:rRNA from 1 species
AUUGAACGCUGGCGGUAGGCCUAACACAUGCAAGUCGAACGCGAAAGUCCUUCGGGAUGAGUAGAGUGGCGGACGGGUGAGUAACGCGUAGGAAUCUAUCCUGUAGUGGGGGAUAACGUUUCGAAAGGAACGCUAAUACCGCAUACGCCCCAAGGGGGAAAGCGGGGGAUCUUCGGACCUCGUGCUAUAGGAGGAGCCUGCGUCGGAUUAGCUAGUUGGUGAGGGAAAGGCUCACCAAGGCGACGAUCCGUAGCUGGGAUGAGAGGAGGAUCAGCCGCUCCGGAACUGAGCCACGGUCCGGACUCCUACGGGAGGCAGCAGUGGGGCAUAGUGCGCAAUGGGCGAAAGCCUGACGCAGCCAUACCGCGUGUGUGAAGAAGGCCUUCGGGUUGUAAAGCACUUUCAGUGGGGAGGACAAGCUGGUGGCUAAUAUCCCUCGGCCGUGACGCUACCCACAGAAGAAGCACCGGCUAAUUCCGUGCCAGCCGCCGCUGUAAGAC